rnacentral:rRNA from 2 species
AACUUUCAACAACGGAUCUCUUGGUUCUGGCAUCGAU